rnacentral:lncRNA from 1 species
UUGUAGCCAUGCGCAUGUUAAAUAGAGCUCAGGAAAGGAUUGAUGCCUGGGCUCAGCUGAACUCUAUUCCUGGCCAGUUCACAGGAAGUACAGGAGUACAGGUUUUGACACAAGAACAGUUGGCCAAUACUGGUGCCCAACCUGGAUUAAAAAGGAUCAGUUCUUAAGAGCAGCCCCGGUAACUGGAGGAACGGGAGCCGUUUUGAUGAGGAAAAUGGGCUGGAGAGAAGGAGAAAGAGCAAAAAAGAGGUCUGGGAACUUCUCUGCUGCAAUGAAAGAUCUGCCAGGCAAACAUCCUGUGUCUGCUUUGAUGGAAAUCUGAAAUAAGAGAAGGUGGCAACCACCUGAAUUUCUAUUGGUCCAUGAUAGUGGCCCUGAUCAUUGCAAACGUUUUCUCUUUAGGGUAUUGAGAAAUGGAAGCCCUUACCAGCCCAGUUGUAUGUUUUUCUUGAAUAGGGAUUGAUAAAUGGAAGUGCUUACCAGCCCAACUUUGCCAGCCUUAAUAAGAAGCAUGCUAAAGACACAGCAGCUACUGUGGUUCUUCAAGCAAUGGGCCUUGUACCAAAGGACCUCAUGGCUAAUGCCACCUGCUUCAGGAGUGCCUCACAUAGAUAGAUUGAGGUUUUAUAAUAAUCAUUUCAGAUAAUUUUACUCUGCCUCACAAUGUGUUUCCUCUUUAAUGUUGUAAAUAUUUGGCAAUUUAAGACAUUGUGUAAAAAGCAAUCUGUAGAAACAUCUCCAGGCUUUGAUUUUUGUACCAUGGAAAUUGUAUUUAACCAUACAGGGUUUUGGUAUGUUUAUAUUGUUUAUCUUAGUGAUGUAUUUGUUUAAGUGGCUAACAUCCAAACGAUUGUUUGAAGGCAUUAGAGUAAUCUUCAGUGUGGAAUGUUAAAUAACGCUUUUAUACUGUAUUUUGUACUAUGAUGUAACUCCCCAUCUCCCCUCAAAAUUUUGUAGAGGUUCUAAAAAGAAAGGGUAUGAGGUGUGAUGAUCAGCACUAAGUCCUGCAUUCCUGUUAAAGCCACUUGGGUCAUAAGAAGGGAGUAAAAAAUGAAGUCUGAGUAGAAUUCUACUAUUGCUGAGGCCAAGUACAUUUAGUAUGGCAUCGAGUUGUGAUAUAGUUUUACUUUGAUGUGCAUUUUGAAUUUCAGCUACACCUAGAUAGACAUAAAAUGAUAAUUAAAAUGCUGUAACCAACUUAUCUAAUAAAAUUGGCAACCAGCCACUAUUCUGUUGACUAUGAGAAAGUUAAAGUUUAUGUUAAUUUUUAGGGUCUGAUAGGAUAUUUCAUGUGUAUUACAGUGGUAUUCAUAUGCUAUGUUUCUAAACUUUAUUUUCAAAAGCUUAAGGCCCAAAU